AGCCUGGGACAGUGGGAAGUGACCCUGGAGGGGCUCAAAGGUCCCUCCCAUCCCAAACCAGGCUGGGAUCCUGUGCUGCUCCAAAUUCCUGCACUAACUCCCAUCCAAUCCCAACCCCUGGGUGUCCAAGCCCCACCUGGGUGUGGGAGCACCCCCAGCCCCAAGGGAGCCCCGAGGAGCUGUGCACAUGAAAUAAAUCAUCUGUGACACAACAGGAAAGAAUCCACACUGGGACCCAGCCCGGAGCUCAUCAGGCUCCCAAUCCAAUUAACUGGCCACUCAUCCCCGUGGAGAGAACACCCCCCCACGGUGCCUGUUGCCCAUUAGCUGCUGGAUCCCUGCUCCAAAGCAGUGAGGAUUCAUCUCCCCAGCUGGGGUGGGCUGGAGAACCCUCAGCCCAGCAGCAGCUGGACCAUGGGGAGCAGCUCCCCCAACAGCCUCAGUCCCCCUGGGCUCUCCAGGGAUCCCUGAGCUCUCCACAAAGACCUCUGGAAAAAGCAGCCACCGUGCCCUUGGAAUGAUGGAAACACCGUGCUGGCUUCUGGAGCUCUUCUGGCACAGGGGUGAAGCCAGCAACUGUGGGAAUGCACUGAAAACAAGGAAGGAAAGGCUUAUCAGGCAGUCACAGGGCUGCACAGGGGGUUUAUCCAUGGCACAGCUGCCUUUCAUCCAGCCUCCCCCUCCCCAGCUGCCCACAGCCCCUGCACACCACGGGAGAGGCAGGAACAGAGAGGUGCUCAGCACAGAGCCCUACAAACAUCUCAGCUGAGUGUUUUCACUGGCCUGGGCUGUAAAAAACCAAGUUGUGGUUCCCAGAUGUGUCAGAGGGCAGCCCCACCGAGCUGUACCUGGGUAAACCCUUGAAAUAAACCUGCAAGCCACGGGAGGAGGUUGUGCUCCCAAAUUCA